rnacentral:rRNA from 1 species
AAUGAACGUUGGCGGCGUGGAUUAGGCAUGCAAGUCGAGCGAGAACCGUAGCAAUACGGGGACAGCGGCGAAAGGGACAGUAAUGUGUAGGUACCUACCCCUGGGUCUGGGAUAGCUGCGGGAAACUGCAGGUAAUACCGGAUAAUGUCCAAGGACCAAAGGUGUGAUUCCACCUGGGGAGGGGCCUGCAUCCUAUUAGCUAGUUGGCGGGGUAACGGCCCACCAAGGCAACGAUGGGUAGCGGGUGUGAGAGCACGACCCGCGUCAUUGGGACUGAGACACUGCCCAGACACCUACGGGUGGCUGCAGUCGAGGAUCUUCGGCAAUGGGCGAAAGCCUGACCGAGCGACGCCGCGUGCGGGAUGAAGGCCUUCGGGUUGUAAACCGCUGUCGUAGAGGAGGAAGUGCAGGGGGGUUCUCCCCUUUGCUUGACCUAUUCUAGGAGGAAGUACGGGCUAAGUUCGUGCCAGCAGCCGCGGUAA